AUUGAACGCUGGCGGCAGGCCUAACACAUGCAAGUCGAGCGAGCGGCGGACGGGUGAGUAAUGUAUGGGGAUCUGCCUGAUGGAGGGGGAUAACUACUGGAAACGGUAGCUAAUACCGCAUACCAUCAGAUGAACCCAUAUGGGAUUAGCUAGUAGGUGGGGUAACGGCUCACCUAGGCGACGAUCCCUAGCUGGUCUGAGAGGAUGAUCAGCCACACUGGGACUUCGACACGGCCCAGACUCCUACGGGAGGCAGCAGUGGGGAAUUUUGGCCAAUGGGCGCAAGCCUGAUCCAGCCAUGCCGCGUGUAUGAAGAAGGCCUUCGGGUUGUAAAGUACUUUUGUUAGGGAAGCGUUACCUACAGAAUAAGCACCGGCUAACUCCGUGCCAGCCGCCGCGGUAAUAC
rnacentral:rRNA from 1 species